rnacentral:rRNA from 1 species
GCAAGUCGAACGGGAGGGAAAGAGAAGCUUGCUUACUUUUUGAAUCUAGUGGCAAACGGUGAGUAACACGUAAACAACCUGCCUUCAGGAUGGGGACAACAGACGGAAACGACUGCUAAUACCGAAUGNGUUCCGGAGACCCGCAUGAUCUACCAAGGAAAGGGUGGCCUCUACCUGUAAGCUAUCGCCUGAAGAGGGGUUUGCGUCUGAUUAGGCAGUUGGUGAGGUAACGGCCCACCAAACCUACGAUCAGUAGCCGGUCUGAGAGGAUGAACGGCCACACUGGAACUGAGACACGGUCCAGACUCCUACGGGAGGCAGCAGUGGGGGAAUCUUCCGCAAUGGGCGAAAGCCUGACGGAGCAACGCCGCGUGAGUGAUGACGGCCUUCGGGUUGUAAAGCUCUGUGAUCGGGGACGAACGGUCCGUUAAGCUAAUACCUUAUGGAAGUGACGGUACCCGAAUAGCAAGCCACGGCUAACUACGUG